UCUCAGUUCGGAUUGCAGGCUGCAACUCGCCUGUAUGAAGUCGGAAUUGCUAGUAAUCGUGGAUCAGCAUGCCACGGUGAAUACGUUCCCGGGCCUUGUACACACCGCCCGUCAAGCCAUGGGAGCCGGGGGUGCUUGAAGUGCGUCGCCGCAAGGCGCGCCCUAGAGCAAAACCGGUGACUGGGGCUAAGUCGUAACAAGGUAAC
rnacentral:rRNA from 1 species